GUCGUUAAAUAUUUCACGAGAGAUAUUCAGAGCUUCCCCUUCCUCUUGUCAGGUUAAUGAAAUUCAGACUAUCAGCCCAUUGAAACUGGGAGAGGGAUGAUCAUGAUUUACAGCAGAACCCGUCUGCUCAUGUCAUCUCAGAGACGACUUUACAUGGACUUCUCAGGAAAAGGCAGAGCGAGGCUGAUAAGAAAGAGUUUGAACCCUUCCGCUGAUUCAUUUUCCAUCCUUUUGCACUUUCUGCUGUCAAAAACGCACAAACGCAAGUCUCAACAACAGGCUUUCCAUCACCACCUCGACACACCGGAGUAAAAACAACAGAGCAAAGAAGAGCUGGAUGCACCUACUGACCUGAGACCAACAGCACGCUCUCUCUGUCUCUUUCCACAGGCCAUCGGGCUUGUUUGUCCAGUCCGAUUUAUUGCUCAUUUGCACCUGCUGAUACUUGAACGAUGAUACCCUCCACUUUAUCUUCACUGGAUUAAAACAGGAGACAGACGCUUCAUCUUACUCUGGUAAUCCAUCACCAGAGAAAAUGGGCUUCCGGUGACUUCUAUUGCAUCCUGUUGUGAAGCUGUCGAUUCUCAGUGUUCUGUUUUCAUGCUGUUUCUAAUGCACAAAGGGGGGCACAAAAAGUCCAGUCUCAUUUGGCAGCUGGCAGUGACUUAUUCCACCUCAGAGCCAAAUCCAGGAAAGGUUUAUAAGUAGGCUCGACAGAAGGUUAGCCUGUGGUGACUUAGACCACUGGGACAUCUUGCAUUCAGCAAUAGAAUAAUACAGAAUGGCUUCUGAACCUCAAUAAACAUUUUGGUUUUUGCUCCCUGCGAAGAUUUGUCCAAUUUCAUCUUCGCCAGAGGCCAGUAGGUGACCUGACAAAAACAGAAAUACAUUUUCACCAUUUUAGCCUGGUCUCAUGGGCAGAUACAAGGGGCCCUCUCUCACACCUUACACAAAUAUUUCGACCAUGCCUGCAAGCUAAUCCUCUCUGCCGGCUGCCCUCAGAUCAGAGUUCAGAGUAGGGAAGACAGCAAAAUCAUUUGGUUCAGUGCAGCUAGUACAAGGGGAAAAAGACUCUUUUUCCUACCACUUCCUGCUAAACAUUUUC
rnacentral:lncRNA from 1 species